rnacentral:siRNA from 1 species
AGCAACUCGGUGUUCCAGUAUCCA